UACGUAGGCAGCAAGCGUUGUUCGGAAUUACUGGGCGUAAAGAGUGUGUAGGCGGUGUUCCAAGUCUGUUGUGAAAUCUCCCGGCUUAACUGGGAGGGUGCGGCGGAAACUGGGAUGCUAGAGGAUGGGAGAGGUAAGCGGAAUUCCUGGUGUAGCGGUGAAAUACGUAGAUAUCAGGAGGAAUACCGGAGGCGAAGGCGGAUAGCUGGGCCAACACUGACGCUGAGACCCGAAAGCGUGGGGAUCAAACAGG
rnacentral:rRNA from 1 species